GCUGGCGUAGUGGUGCAUGCCUGUAAUCCCAGCAGCUUGGGAGGCUGAGGCAGGAGGAUCAUGAGUUAAAAGCCAGCCUCAGCAAUGGUGAGGUGCUAAGGAACUCAGCAAGACCCUGUCUCUA
rnacentral:sRNA from 1 species